rnacentral:rRNA from 1 species
GGGCAUCAGUUUGGUUUGCUUGCAAACCAAAGCUGGCGACCGGCGCACGGGUGAGUAACACGUAUCCAACCUGCCUCAUACUCGGGGAUAGCCUUUCGAAAGAAAGAUUAAUAUCCGAUAGCAUAUAUUUCCCGCAUGGGUUUUAUAUUAAAGAAAUUCGGUAUGAGAUGGGGAUGCGUUCCAUUAGUUUGUUGGCGGGGUAACGGCCCACCAAGACUACGAUGGAUAGGGGUUCUGAGAGGAAGGUCCCCCACAUUGGAACUGAGACACGGUCCAAACUCCUACGGGAGGCAGCAGUGAGGAAUAUUGGUCAAUGGACGCGAGUCUGAACCAGCCAAGUAGCGUGAAGGAUGACUGCCCUAUGGGUUGUAAACUUCUUUUAUAUGGGAAUAAAGUGGUCCACGUGUGGAUUUUUGUAUGUACCAUAUGAAUAAGGAUCGGCUAACUCCGUGCCAGCAGCCGCGGUAAUACGGAGGAUCCGAGCGUUAUCCGGAUUUAUUGGGUUUAAAGGGAGCGUAGGCGGAUUGUUAAGUCAGUUGUGAAAGUUUGCGGCUCAACCGUAAAAUUGCAGUUGAUACUGGCAGUCUUGAGUGCAGUAGAGGUGGGCGGAAUUCGUGGUGUAGCGGUGAAAUGCUUAGAUAUCACGAAGAACUCCGAUUGCGAAGGCAGCUCACUGGAGUGUAACUGACGCUGAUGC